AGCCGCGCGGCGGAAUGGGGACG
rnacentral:piRNA from 1 species